rnacentral:rRNA from 1 species
GAUGAACGCUAGCGGCAGGCCUAAUACAUGCAAGUCGAACGGUGUCUUCGGACAUAGUGGCGCACGGGUGCGUAACACGUAUGCAACCUACCUUACAUUGGGGGAUAGCCUUUCGAAAGGGAGAUUAAUACCGCAUAAGACAGUAGCUGGGCAUCCAGCAGCUGUUAAAGAUUUAUCGAUGUAAGCUGGGCAUGCGUCCAAUUAGCUAGUUGGGGAGGUAACGGCUCACCAAGGCAAUGAUUGGUAGGGGAACUGAGAGGUCAAUCCCCCACACUGGCACUGAGAUACGGGCCAGACUCCUACGGGAGGCAGCAGUAGGGAAUAAUGGGCAAUGGACGCAAGUCUGACCCAGCCAUGCCGCGUGCAGGAUGAAGGCGUUAUGCGUUGUAAACUGCUUUUAUACAGGAAGAAACGACUCUUGCGAGAGGCAUUGACGGUACUGUAUGAAUAAGCACCGGCUAACUCCGUGCCAGCAGCCGCCGUAAAAC